AUUGAACGCUGGCGGCAUGCUUUACACAUGCAAGUCGAACGGCAGCACGGGUGCUUGCACCUGGUGGCGAGUGGCGAACGGGUGAGUAAUGCAUCGGAACGUGCCCAUGAGUGGGGGAGUAGCCCGGCGAAAGCCGGAUUAAUACCGCAUACGCCCUUAGGGGGAAAGGCGGGGGAGUCUUCGGACCUCGCGCUAUUGGAGCGGCCGAUGUCGGAUUAGCUAGUAGGUGAGGUAAAGGGCUCACCUAGGCGACGAUCCGUAGCUGGUCUGAGAGGAUGAUCAGCCACACUGGGACUGAGACACGGCCCAGACUCCUACGGGAGGCAGCAGUGGGGAAUUUUGGACAAUGGGCGCAAGCCUGAUCCAGCCAUGCCGCGUGAGUGAAGAAGGCC
rnacentral:rRNA from 1 species